rnacentral:ncRNA from 1 species
AUGAUAGAGGCGCGGUCUUUAUCAGUACCAUGUAUGUAAGAACUGAACGAAGGCAUAUAUGGGAAAGGAAAUACCGCCGAAGAAUCUUUCCUUUCAGUUCAGGGGAGAAGGAUUCUGGUACAUGACAGAAUAUGUCCUGUACUGUCACUGAUAUGUGGAGCGCUAUC